rnacentral:rRNA from 1 species
GACGAACGCUGGCGGCGUGCCUAAUACAUGCAAGUCGAGCGGACUGAUUAAGAGCUUGCUCUUAUGACGUUAGCGGCGGACGGGUGAGUAACACGUGGGCAACCUGCCCUGUAGAUCGGGAUAACACCGAGAAAUCGGUGCUAAUACCGGGUAAUAUCUGAGAUCACAUGAUCUUAGGUUAAAAGAUGGCUCCGGCUAUCACUACAGGAUGGGCCCGCGGCGCAUUAGCUAGUUGGUAAGGUAAUGGCUUACCAAGGCGACGAUGCGUAGCCGACCUGAGAGGGUGAUCGGCCACACUGGGACUGAGACACGGCCCAGACUCCUACGGGAGGCAGCAGUAGGGAAUCUUCCGCAAUGGACGAAAGUCUGACGGAGCAACGCCGCGUGAGUGAUGAAGGGUUUCGGCUCGUAAAGCUCUGUUGUUAGGGAAGAAACAGUACCGAACGAACUAGGUCGGUACCUUGACGGUACCUAACCAGAAAGCCGCGGCUAACUACGUG